UCCCGAGUAUUGCACUGCCCAUUUAAUACUCCCGAUCUCUCGCUGUUCAAAGGGUCAAGGGGCAGACCUUGCGUGUGCAUCGCGGUUCGAACGGGAAGAGAUAUGUAAAUGCCAAUGCCAGCCCUUGUCCCAGCCGAUAUAGUCUCCAAUAUCACGACGAAGUUUAAUUCUCCGCUGGCGGAGGAGGAUCAAAUGUGCCCGGCAUUAUGAGGACCCCCCCGCCUCCCUCCCCAGUUGAUGCCGCUUCGUCCACUGCCUCCUCCAAAUGCUCUCAUCGCCUUUCCUCAAGAUCUCGCCUCUCCGCUGCGUGCCCUUUUGUCUCUUACGACCCUGACCCUUCAGCGUUCUCGAUGCGCCAGUAUGAUUUUUCUGCAGAUGAUGCGCCUGUCCAUUCUCUAAAAUCUUCUUCUUCUGUUGUUGCCGCUGCCGCCGCCGUCACCUCCAUGCGCGAGUCCUUUGCAGAGCCCACUCCACCCCCCGAACAUUCACAUCAUCAUCGAAGACCGGGCCUACCGCCUCGUGGCCAGCGGCAGAGCAUGCACACCUUGGAGGAACUGCGGAAUCAAAUGGAAGGAGUCUCUGUCUUUCACUCCCGCUCCAGUUCUCACACUUUCUCCACCAAGCCUCCUCCGAUUUCAAGCCAUGAGAUGAAGUCGCCUCGCAAGGCCAAGAGAAGCAUCCGUUCCACCCCUUCAUCGCCCUCCAACAUCCCAGUUCCUCCGGCUUCGUUGAAGCCCAGCGGCCACCCUGAUUCCUCCUCCUCGUCGUGCACUGUCAAAUCGCCCAAGCGGACCGAUCAUUCUGAACUGUCUGCCUUUCCAUUCCCACCCCCUUCAUCCUUGGUCGCGUCCGUAGACCAAUCUCUCGACUCAUUGGUUGAUGCGCGACCCAUCGUGAAGCGGCUGUCGAUACGUAGAACCAGGG
rnacentral:sRNA from 2 species